rnacentral:rRNA from 1 species
UACAGAGGUCUCAAGCGUUGUUCGGAUUCAUUGGGCGUAAAGGGUGCGCAGGCGGCCAAGUGUGUGAGGCGUGAAAGCCCGGGGCUUAACCCCGGAAUUGCACCUCAAACUACAUGGCUAGAGCAUUGGAGAGGGUAGCAGAAUUCACGGUGUAGCAGUGAAAUGCGUAGAUAUCGUGAGGAAUACCAGAGGCGAAGGCGGCUACCUGGACAAUUGCUGACGCUCAGGCACGAAAGCGUGGGGAGCAAAAGGG